UACGGAGGGUGCAAGCGUUAUCCGGAUUCAUUGGGCUUAAAGGGUGCGCAGGCGGAGUGAUAAGUCAGUGGUGAAAGCCUACAGCUUAACUGUAGAACUGCCUUUGAUACUGUGAUUCUUGAGUAUGGUUGAGGUAGGCGGAAUGUGUCAUGUAGCGGUGAAAUGCUUAGAUAUGACACGGAACACCGGUGGCGAAGGCAGCUUACCGGGCAAUAACUGACGCUCAUGCACGAAAGCGUGGGGAGCAAACAGG
rnacentral:rRNA from 1 species